rnacentral:rRNA from 1 species
AUUGAACGCUGGCGGCAGGCCUAACACAUGCAAGUCGAAUGGUAACAGGAAACAGCUUGCUGUUUCGCUGACGAGUGGCGGACGGGUGAGUAAUGUCUGGGAAACUGCCUGAUGGAGGGGGAUAACUACUGGAAACGGUAGCUAAUACCGCAUAACGUCGCAAGACCAAAGAGGGGGACCUUCGGGCCUCUUGCCAUCAGAUGUGCCCAGAUGGGAUUAGCUAGUAGGUGGGGUAACGGCUCACCUAGGCGACGACCCCUAGCUGGUCUGAGAGGAUGACCAGCCACACUGGAACUGAGACACGGUCCAGACUCCUACGGGAGGCAGCAGUGGGGAAUAUUGCACAAUGGGCGCAAGCCUGAUGCAGCCAUGCCGCGUGUAUGAAGAAGGCCUUCGGGUUGUAAAGUACUUUCAGCGGGGAGGAAGGGAGUAAAGUUAAUACCUUUGCUCAUUGACGUUACCCGCAGAAGAAGCACCGGCUAACUCCGUGCCAGCAGCCGCGGUAAUACGGAGGGUGCAAGCGUUAAUCGGAAUUACUGGGCGUAAAGCGCACGCAGGCGGUUUGUUAAGUCAGAUGUGAAAUCCCCGGGCUCAACCUGGGAACUGCAUCUGAUACUGGCAAGCUUGAGUCUCGUAGAGGGGGGUAGAAUUCCAGGUGUAGCGGUGAAAUGCGUAGAGAUCUGGAGGAAUACCGGUG